rnacentral:lncRNA from 1 species
UGAACCAAAAAGCAGAAAACAGCCCUACUUUCCUCUUUUUCUGAAACUUUGCGUGAGGGAACUGCCGCCUUCUUCCUCAACAAUCGAGCGCCACCCGCCACCUAGACCACAGACCCCACUACCAAUCGAACCCCCUCGCCUCCCUCUUCAACUUCUUGUCAUCAAUUGGCCACGAAGUUGCCGAAAACAUCCCCAAUCACCACCCAAAAUCGGGCAAAGAGUCAUCGUUUUCACCAUAUUUCGACUGUCGUUGGCCACUGUUUUGAUCGCGGACAAUCACCACUCCACUCCUUUCAACCAGGCGCAUCCAAUACCACCAUGGGUCACAUGCAAUUUUGUCCCGAAUCAGCGUGCUUGUGAAAGCAGUCCAUGAGUUGUGACAUAGAUUUGGUCCCAACAAAAUUGAUGAAAAUUUAUUGAUGGGUAAGCAUUUUUUUUUUUUUUAAUUUAUGGGUUAAUUUUUAACGGUUUGUGAAUUCUCUCUUCUCUUAUCGUAAGAAUUUUCCAUUUUCUCUCUUCAAAUUUUUGCUUCACUAUACAUAUAUACACAUACAUAUAUAUAGAUAAAGAUAUAGAGUUGUGGAAUUGGCAAUGGGAUUUUCGAAGAAAUGUGUGUCUCCUUGUUCUUUGCUGCUGUUAAUACUCUUCAUUAGUUAAGAGCUCUUCAUUUUUCAUUUGCUAUUGUUGUCAAUGCUGUUAAUGCUCUUCAUUGCAAGCAAACGUACCCUAAAUAAUAAAUAAAAAAUAUUCAAGAGUGGUGGUAGCAGUUUGAGUUGAGGUUCCAACGAAAUAAAUUUUUUGUUUACGAUAGAUGCCAGACCCAUUGGGUUGGGAUUCAGAAGUCAGAUUUUGGAAUUGGAGACUAACUAGUAAGUGACAAUUUCCUAAAUAUCCAUUUUUCUUUCUU